GUACGCUGCCGGCACGCCUAACACAUGCAAGUCGAACGAAGUAGCAAUACUUAGUGGCAGACGGGUGAGUAACAUGUAGGUAUCUGCCCUUUGGCCUGGAAUAACACGAGGAAACUUGUGCUAAUACCGGAUAAGUCUUUACGGAGAAAGCUUUAUGCACCAUUGGAUGAGCCUGCACUUGAUUAGUUUGUUGGUGGGGUAAUGGCCUACCAAGACUGUGAUCAAUAGCUGAUUUGAGAGGAUGAUCAGCCACAUUGGGACUGAGACACGGCCCAAACUCCUACGGGAGGCAGCAGUGGGGAAUCUUGCACAAUGGAGGAAACUCUGAUGCAGCGAUGCCGCGUGAGUGAAGAAGGCCCUUGGGUUGUAAAGCUCUUUCGUCGGGGAAGAAAAUGACUGUACCCGAAUAAGAAGGUCCGGCUAA
rnacentral:rRNA from 1 species